AACGAACGCUGGCGGCAUGCCUAACACAUGCAAGUCGAACGAGACCUUCGGGUCUAGUGGCGCACGGGUGCGUAACGCGUGGGAACCUGCCUUUAGGUUCGGAAUAACUCAGAGAAAUUUGAGCUAAUACCGGAUAAUGUCUUCGGACCAAAGAUUUAUCGCCUUUAGAUGGGCCCGCGUUGGAUUAGCUAGUUGGUGGGGUAAAGGCCUACCAAGGCGACGAUCCAUAGCUGGUCUGAGAGGAUGAUCAGCCACACUGGGACUGAGACACGGCCCAGACUCCUACGGGAGGCAGCAGUGGGGAAUAUUGGACAAUGGGCGAAAGCCUGAUCCAGCAAUGCCGCGUGAGUGAUGAAGGCCUUAGGGUUGUAAAGCUCUUUUACCCGAGAUGAUAAUGACAGUAUCGGGAGAA
rnacentral:rRNA from 1 species